rnacentral:rRNA from 1 species
AACGAACGCUGGCGGCGCGCCUAAUACAUGCAAGUCGAGCGAGAAGGUGUAGCAAUACACUUGUAAAGCGGCGAACGGGUGAGGAAUGCAUGGGUAACCUACCCUCGAGUGGGGAAUAACUAGCCGAAAGGUUAGCUAAUACCGCAUACGUUUCCGGAACUUCGGUUUCGGAAAGAAAGCAAUACCGUGGGUAUUGCGCUCCUGGAUGGGCUCAUGUCCUAUCAGCUUGUUGGUGAGGUAACGGCUCACCAAGGCUUCGACGGGUAGCUGGUCUGAGAGGACGAUCAGCCACACUGGCACUGCGACACGGGCCAGACUCCUACGGGAGGCAGCAGUAAGGAUAUUGCGCAAUGGACGAAAGUCUGACGCAGCGACG